AGUCUACAAAACCCCACAGCUCCCAAGAAUUCCCUCACCUGCCUUCUGCCCUUAGGCUCCGGUAGAUUGCAAAUAACCUGCUUUCUUUCUGUUCCCGGGCUGAGUUCGGACCCCUGUCGGAGAGUAAAUCCCAAGUAAGGUACCUGCCGUCGGCAGAUUUGAGCUUUCUUCUUGGACACCUAAUACCCACAGUCCUCCAGGAUAACUUCAGGAAGUGGGUAUUAAUUCUCACUGUAUAAGUGAAGACAUUAAGCACCAGAGUUUAAGUAGCUUGAUCCACUGAAAGAGAUUCAACUGUGUGGAACCUAUACCGCGGAGAAUUGCUUUCUGCCAUUGUUAUUGUCCAGCAGUUGCCGAAUAGCUCUGACCUGAGCAAAGCAGUGAAACGCGGUGCUGUUGAGUGGGUUGCCACUGCACCUUUUUCAACUACUCUAGUCUUGUGGAGAAAACACCCCUUCUAAAUUUUUUCUUCAUUGAAUACUCUCCCUCAGCUCCAGGGUACCAUAUAGAGUUUUCUUGUAUUUUAGAGUUACUGUUUUAUCAAAGUUUACCAGUCUUUUGUACUACAUUUCUCCUGUCUAAA